UACGAAGGGGGCUAGCGUUGCUCGGAAUGACUGGGCGUAAAGGGCGCGUAGGCGGAUGGCUUUGUCGGGCGUGAAAUUCCAGGGCUUAACCUUGGGGCUGCGUUCGAGACGGGUUGUCUUGAGUGGGGAAGAGGGUCGUGGAAUUCCCAGUGUAGAGGUGAAAUUCGUAGAUAUUGGGAAGAACACCGGUGGCGAAGGCGGCGACCUGGGUCAAGAUUGACGCUCAUGCACGAAAGCGUGGGGAGCAAACAGG
rnacentral:rRNA from 1 species